AUUGAACGCUGGCGGCAUGCUUUACACAUGCAAGUCGAACGGUAACAGGCCGCAAGGUGCUGACGAGUGGCGAACGGGUGAGUAAUGCAUCGGAACGUGCCCAGUCGUGGGGGAUAACGCAGCGAAAGCUGUGCUAAUACCGCAUACGAUCUAUGGAUGAAAGCGGGGGACCGUAAGGCCUCGUGCGAUUGGAGCGGCCGAUGGCAGAUUAGGUAGUUGGUGGGGUAAAGGCCUACCAAGCCGACGAUCUGUAGCUGGUCUGAGAGGACGACCAGCCACACUGGGACUGAGACACGGCCCAGACUCCUACGGGAGGCAGCAGUGGGGAAUUUUGGACAAUGGGCGCAAGCCUGAUCCAGCAAUGCCGCGUGCAGGAAGAAGGCCUUCGGGUUGUAAACUGCUUUUGUACGGAACGAAACGGUCUGGGUUAAUACCCUGGGCUAAUGACGGUACCGUAAGAAUAAGCACCGGCUAACUACGUGCCAGCAGCCGCCGUAAGAC
rnacentral:rRNA from 1 species